GACGAACCGUGCAAACGUUAUUCGGAAUCACUGGGCUUAAAGGGCGCGUAGGCGGGUUGGACAGUCUGCGGUGAAAUCCUCCAGCUUAACUGGAGAACUGCCGUGGAUACUGCCAGUCUCGAGGAGGGUAGGGGCAUCUGGAACAGCCGGUGGAGCGGUGAAAUGCGUAGAUAUCUGGAGGAACACCGGUGGCGAAGGCGGCCAUCUGGACCGGAACUGACGCUGAGGCGCGAAAGCGUGGGGAGCAAACAGG
rnacentral:rRNA from 1 species